rnacentral:lncRNA from 1 species
GUCUAACAAAUGCUAACUAAAAGCAAUUGUUCAUAAUAUUCUUCUUGUAAAAUACAUACUACCAAGACACUAUUAUGAUUUACCUUUAGGGAAAAUGAAUAGCAAAUAACUUCUACUGGUGAUAAAUACAUCUUGAAGUCAUAUCAUCUACUAUAGCAUCAACAUUACUAUACUUUAAAAGAAUAUCUUCACACUGAAAUAAACCAUAUGUAAGCAACCAUUUUCUCAUAAAAUAAUUUUGCUAUGUAAAAGGGAGAGUUUGACCCAUGAUUUCUAU